GACGAACGCUGGCGGCGUGCUUAACACAUGCAAGUCGAACGGAAAGGCCCUGCUUUUGUGGGGUGCUCGAGUGGCGAACGGGUGAGUAACACGUGAGUAACCUGCCCUUGACUUUGGGAUAACUUCAGGAAACUGGGGCUAAUACCGGAUAUGAGCUCCUGCUGCAUGGUGGGGGUUGGAAAGUUUCGGCGGUUGGGGAUGGACUCGCGGCUUAUCAGCUUGUUGGUGGGGUAGUGGCUUACCAAGGCUUUGACGGGUAGCCGGCCUGAGAGGGUGACCGGCCACAUUGGGACUGAGAUACGGCCCAGACUCCUACGGGGGGCAGCAGUGGGGAAUAUUGCACGAUGGGCGGAAGCCUGAUGCAGCAACGCCGCGUGCGGGAUGACGGCCUUCGGGUUGUAAACCGCUUUCGCCUGUGACGAAGCGUGAGUGACGGUAAUGGGUAAAGAAGCACCGGCUAACUACGUG
rnacentral:rRNA from 1 species